AUUAGUAAAUGCAGCUACCAAAUCUUUAGUAGUUGAAACAUUGGUAAAAUGAACUGUAAUGUGCGUACUUCGCAGUCGUCAUUCUUCUUGAGGAAACAAAGCCAUUCGGAGUUUCUAACCUUGGAUUAAAAUUGCACAGUUGACUGGUGGAAUAUUCAAUGUAUACUAGACUAAGCAUUUGCAACACAAAUAAAUGUCAGGUAA